rnacentral:rRNA from 1 species
UACGUAGGGGGCAAGCGUUGUCCGGAUUUAUUGGGCGUAAAGAGCGUGUAGGCGGCUAGGUAGGUCCGUUGUGAAAACUCGAGGCUCAACCUCGAGACGUCGAUGGAAACCAUCUAGCUAGAGUCCGGAAGAGGAGGGUGGAAUUCCUGGUGUAGCGGUGAAAUGCGCAGAUAUCAGGAAGAACACCCGUGGCGAAGGCGGCUCUCUGGGACGGUACUGACGCUGAGACGCGAAAGCGUGGGGAGCGAACAGG